rnacentral:rRNA from 1 species
GUUGGGUUAAGUCCCGCAACGAGCGCAACCCUCGUCGUCAGUUGCCACCAUUCAGUUGAGCACUCUGACGAGACUGCCUGUGUUAAGCAGGAGGAAGGUGGGGAUGACGUCAAGUCCUCAUGGCCCUUACGGCCAGGGCUACACACGUACUACAAUGGGCGAUACAGAGUGUUGCGGCCUCGCGAGAGCAAGCCAAUCACAAAAAAUCGUCCCCAGUUCAGAUUGCGGUCUGCAACUCGACUGCAUGAAGGUGGAAUCGCUAGUAAUCGCGGAUCAGCAUGCCGCGGUGAAUACGUUCCCGGGCCUUGUACACACCGCCCGUCACACCAUGGGAGUUGUUUUGACCCGAAGUCGCCGUUCAAACCCGCAAGGGAUGUAAGCGCCUAAGGUCGGGAUAGCGACUGGGGUGAAGUCGUAACAAGGUAGC